rnacentral:lncRNA from 1 species
AAUAUACUCAAUAACUAAAAAAUCUGUAUGUUUCCUCCUGACCUAUAGAGUGAGGACUAUCAUGGUAGGAAGAAAGUGGAAUCCGUGGAGCUACCCUACCGAAAUGGCGGAUCAAAGCACCCUGUUUAUCGUGGAAUCACAGAGAUUAGAACUAAUAAAGCCUCGAAAGAGGCAAAGAGGAUAAUCUUCACUAUACUCCCAUUUACAUUACUUGUUUGUCUUACGUAGAAGACAGAUCAUGGAGCAUAGUAGCGGACUCUCGUAAACCAAGUCAGGUAGAGGCUACAUUUAGUUCCAGACAGACUUUUCGACAUUGUAGAUCAAUACAUACCCUGGCACUUAGUAUGCAACUGUUCAUCUGAGAAAUGAUUUUAUUUCUACAAGGAAACACCACCAUCAAGUAACUUUCAUGUGGAAAAGAGAGUUUUCUCUAUCUUGCUACAGAAUUACAUCAGUUAUCCAGAGUCAUGUCAUGUUUUUACUCUAAAAGGCAUGCAUUUCUCAAUAUGGUGGCAAAGAGAAAUGUCUUGGAACCCGUUCCAGAGACAAAGGCCAACUUCCUGUCCUUGAACCAACUUGUUAGCAUGAGCAAGUGUGUGCAGGGGAGAUGGGUGGGAUCUCAUGGUGGACUGCUAUCUGUCUGCAUCUGCAAAUACCUCCCUCUCUGAUCUGUGAAGAUGGAAGGGGCAGAGAGAACCUCUUCAAAGUCAUACCUGUGGUGGAGUAGAGCACCAGACUAGAGAGGACACAGGUGAUUUUAACUGGUUCUAUCACUACCUAGCUCUGGUGCUAGUGGAAAUCACUUCGUUGUCUUAGCUUCUAUGGGAAUACUUAUAACAGCAGUUUGUCAUGACAAAUUGCUUUUUUUUUUUUUUUCAUUCAUGCAGCAUGUAUUUCAGAGACAGUCUGGCCUGAUCUAGUGCCAACUCUGCCACUAAACUCUAACUCACUUGAUGACUUAGGGCAGCUCAUACAAGAUGGAAACUCCAUGGGUACCGAUUUCAACUAAGAGAAAACUUAGAAGUUGGUAACAGAGCUAUCUGAAGAUAGGCUGGAUUGUCUGGGGAAAUGGCAUUAUAACAGCUAACAUUUAUUAAGUAAUCAUUUGCUUACUUUUCACAGCAAUCCUAUGAGUUAGAUACUAUCACCCCAUUUCAGAGAUGAGGAACAAGAGCUCAAAAAGUUAUAUGGAAGUAGAAAACUAGGCUCGGACCCCAGAUCUGUGAAACCAGGCUGACUACUCCCACCCACUCUUCUGUUUUGCCAGUGGAAGUGCUCAGAAGAAACCGGAUGACCACUGGCCAGCAGGGGAGAGAGCACAGCAGCAAUUAGGUUGGGCUGAGUGACUGCUCAGCACUGAAGUUCUAGAACUCUUCAUUCUCUAGGGCUCUGUUUCCUGGAAAGUAAGACUUGAAUUUGAUUGCUAGAGGCUCCUUUCUGUUUUAUUUUUUUUUUAAUUUUU